UACGUAGGGUCCGAGCGUUGUCCGGAAUUAUUGGGCGUAAAGGGCUCGUAGGCGGUUUGUCGCGUCGGGAGUGAAAACCAUGGGCUUAACUCAUGGCUUGCUUUCGAUACGGGCAGACUAGAGGUAUGCAGGGGAGAAUGGAAUUCCUGGUGUAGCGGUGAAAUGCGCAGAUAUCAGGAGGAACACCGGUGGCGAAGGCGGUUCUCUGGGCAUUACCUGACGCUGAGGAGCGAAAGUGUGGGGAGCGAACAGGAUUAGAAACCCCCGUAGU
rnacentral:rRNA from 1 species